rnacentral:rRNA from 1 species
ACGGAAGGCAGCAGUGGGGAAUAUUGCACAAUGGGCGAAAGCCUGAUGCAGCGACGCCGCGUGAGUGAAGAAGUAUCUCGGUAUGUAAAGCUCUAUCAGCAGGGAAGAAAAUGACGGUACCUGACUAAGAAGCCCCGGCUAACUACGUGCCAGCAGCCGCGGUAAUACGUAGGGGGCAAGCGUUAUCCGGAUUUACUGGGUGUAAAGGGAGCGUAGACGGUUUGGCAAGUCUGAAGUGAAAUGCGGGGGCUCAACUCCUGAACUGCUUUGGAAACUGUCGAACUAGAGUGCAGGAGAGGUAAGUGGAAUUCCUAGUGUAGCGGUGAAAUGCGUAGAUAUUAGGAGGAACACCAGUGGCGAAGGCGGCUUACUGGACAGUAACUGACGUUGAGGCUCGAAAGCGUGGGGAGCAAACAGGAUUAGAUACCCUGGUA